GACGAACGCUGGCGGCGUGGAUAAGACAUGCAAGUCGAACGGGAUUACUUUUGGUAGCAAUACCGAAAGUAAUUCAGUGGCGAACGGGUGCGUAACACGUGGGCAAUCUGCCGAAAAGUGGGGGAUAGCUCGCCGAAAGGCGAAUUAAUACCGCAUGUGGUGAGGGACGACAUCUUCCUGAAUCCAAAGCCGGGGCAACCUGGCGCUUUUUGAGGAGCCCGCGGCCUAUCAGCUUGUUGGCGGGGUAACGGCCCACCAAGGCUAUGACGGGUAGCUGGUCUGAGAGGACGACCAGUCACACUGGAACUGAGACACGGUCCAGACACCUACGGGUGGCAGCAGUCGAGAAUUUUUCUCAAUGGGGGAAACCCUGAAGGAGCGACGCCGCGUGGAGGAUGAAGGCUUUCGGGUU
rnacentral:rRNA from 1 species